GUUAUUCGGCUUCGGGAGCCGCAGGGGCCAGACGGCCCAGGGCUCCAUAGACCACGUCUACACGGGUUCCGGAUACCGAAUCCGGGACUCCGAACUGCAGAAGAUCCACAGGGCAGCUGUCAAAGGCGACGCCGCGGAGGUGGAGCGCUGCUUGGCGCGCAGGAGCGGAGACCUGGACGCCCUGGACAAGCAGCACAGAACUGCUCUACACUUGGCCUGUGCCAGUGGCCAUGUGCAAGUGGUCACUCUCCUGGUUAACAGAAAAUGCCAGAUUGAUGUCUGUGACAAAGAAAACAGAACGCCUUUGAUACAGGCUGUCCAUUGCCAGGAAGAGGCUUGUGCCGUUAUUCUGCUGGAACAUGGCGCCAAUCCAAACCUUAAGGAUAUCUACGGCAACACUGCUCUCCAUUAUGCCGUGUAUAGUGAGAGCACCUCACUGGCAGAAAAACUGCUUUCCCAUGGUGCACAUAUUGAAGCACUGGACAAGGACAAUAAUACCCCACUUUUAUUUGCUAUAAUUUGCAAGAAAGAGAAAAUGGUGGAAUUUUUAUUGAAAAGGAAAGCAAGUUCACAUGCCGUUGAUAGGCUGAGACGGUCAGCUCUCAUGCUUGCUGUAUACUAUGACUCACCAGGUAUUGUCAAUAUCCUUCUUAAGCAAAAUAUUGAUGUCUUCGCUCAAGACAUGUGUGGACGAGAUGCAGAAGAUUAUGCUAUUUCUCAUCAUUUGACAAAAAUUCAACAACAAAUUUUGGAACAUAAAAAGAAGAUACUUAAAAAGGAGAAAUCAGAUGUUGGAAGUUCUGAUGAAUCUGCAGUCAGCAUUUUCCAUGAACUGCGUGUGGAUUCAUUGCCUGCAUCGGAUGACAAAGACUUGAAUGUUGCUACUAAGUGUGUCCCCGAGAAAGUGUCAGAGCCUUUACCUGGAUCUUCGCAUGAAAAAGGAAACAGAAUAGUCAAUGGACAAGGAGAAGGGCCUCCUGCAAAACAUCCUUCCUUGAAGCCUAGCACUGAAGUAGAAGAUCCUGCUGUGAAAGGAGCAGUACAAAGAAAGAAUGUACAGACAUUGAGAGCAGAACAAGCCUUACCAGUGGCUUCAGAGGAAGAGCAAGAAAGGCAUGAAAGAAGUGAAAAGAAGCAACCACAGGUCAAAGAAGGAAAUAAUACAAACAAAAGUGAAAAAAUACAACUUUCAGAAAAUAUAUGUGAUAGUACAUCUUCUGCUGCUGCUGGCAGAUUAACCCAACAAAGAAAGAUUGGGAAAACGUAUCCUCAGCAAUUUCCCAAGAAGCUGAAGGAAGAGCAUGAUAGAUGCACCUUAAAACAAGAAAAUGAAGAAAAAACAAAUGUUAAUAUGCUGUACAAAAAAAAUAGAGAAGAAUUAGAAAGGAAAGAGAAACAAUAUAAGAAAGAAGUUGAAGCAAAACAACUUGAACCAACUGUUCAGUCACUAGAGAUGAAAUCAAAGACUGCAAGAAAUACUCCAAAUCGGGAUUUUCAUAAUCAUGAAGAAAUGAAAGGUCUGAUGGAUGAAAAUUGCAUUUUGAAGGCAGAUAUUGCUAUACUCAGACAGGAAAUAUGUACAAUGAAAAAUGACAACUUGGAAAAAGAAAAUAAAUAUCUUAAGGACAUUAAAAUUGUUAAAGAAACAAAUGCUGCCCUUGAAAAGUAUAUAAAACUCAAUGAGGAAAUGAUAACAGAAACAGCAUUCCGGUAUCAACAAGAGCUUAAUGAUCUCAAGGCUGAGAAUACAAGGCUCAAUGCCGAACUGUUGAAGGAAAAAGAAAGCAAGAAAAGACUGGAAGCUGACAUUGAAUCUUAUCAGUCUAGACUGGCUGCUGCUAUAAGCAAACACAGUGAAAGUGUGAAAACAGAAAGAAACCUAAAACUUGCUUUAGAGAGAACACGAGAUGUUUCUGUACAAGUAGAAAUGAGUUCUGCUAUUUCCAAAGUAAAAGAUGAGAAUGAGUUUCUUACUGAACAACUUUCUGAAACACAAAUUAAAUUCAAUGCCUUAAAAGAUAAGUUCCGUAAGACAAGAGAUAGUCUCAGAAAAAAGUCAUUGGCUUUAGAAACUGUACAAAACGACCUAAGCCAAACACAGCAGCAAACACAGGAAAUGAAAGAGAUGUAUCAAAAUGCAGAAGCUAAAGUGAAUAAUUCCACUGGAAAGUGGAACUGUGUAGAAGAGAGGAUAUGUCACCUCCAACGUGAAAAUGCGUGGCUUGUACAGCAACUAGAUGACGUUCAUCAGAAAGAGGAUCAUAAAGAGAUAGUAACUAAUAUCCAAAGAGGCUUUAUUGAGAGUGGAAAGAAAGACCUCGUGCUAGAAGAGAAAAGUAAGAAGCUAAUGAAUGAAUGUGAUCAUUUAAAAGAAAGUCUCUUUCAGUAUGAGAGAGAGAAAACAGAAGGAGUAAUAUAAGAAACUCCUGGAAAUGACAAUAAAUAUGUUAAAUGUAUUUGGAAAUGAAGACUUUGAUUGCCAUGGAGACUUAAAAACAGAUCAACUGAAAAUGGAUAUUCUGAUUAAGAAGCUAAAACAGAAGUUUGAUGAUCUUACGGCAGAGAAGGAAGCUUUAUCUUCAAAAUGUGUCAAUUUGGCUAAAGACAAUCAAGUUCUUCAACAGGAGUUUUUAUCUAUGAAAAAAGUACAACAGCAAUGUGAGAAACUUGAGGAGGAUAAAAAGAUGUUGAAAGAAGAAAUAUUAAAUCUUAAGACACAUAUGGAAAACAAUAGGGUAGAACUUAGUAAACUACAAGAAUAUAAAUUGGAGCUAGAUGAAAAGGCAGUGCAGGCAGUAGAAAAAUUAGAAGAAAUCCAUUUACAGGAACAAGCACAAUAUGAAAAACAAUUAGAGCAGUUAAACAAGGAUAAUAUGGCUUCACUAAAUAAAAAGGAACUCACACUUAAAGAUGUGGAAUGUAAAUUCUCAGAAAUGAAAACUGCUUAUGAAGAGGUUACAACCGAAUUAGAAGAAUAUAAGGAAGCCUUUGCAGCAGCAUUGAAAGCUAACAAUUCCAUGUCAAAAAAAUUAACAAAAUCAAAUAAGAAAAUAGCAGUGAUCAGCAUGAAGCUCCUUAUGGAGAAAGAGCAGAUGAAAUAUUUUCUCAGUGCUCUUCCUACAAGGCGAGACCCAGAGUCACCUUGUGUUGAAAAUCUUACUAGUAUAGGACUCAACAGAAAAUAUAUUCCCCAAACACCCAUAAGAAUUCCUAUUUCAAGCCCACAGACUUCAAAUAACUGCAAGAACUCUUAGACUGUGAUGGAGCUGGACUGUGUAGAACAAAUAACUAGAGAAACAAAGAGAAUUGUUGCUGUGUUGAACACUUGCUCCCGUCUACUUACUUCUCUAUAAUCCACUGCCAUGGAAUGAGUGAUUUUUCUUAGAAGCAGAGGUGGAGCCACUGAGGAAGCACAGGCGAGCCCUCCCCAGCACGUGCUCACUGGUCCCCAACAGAACAACCGCUGCCGCAUCCAUGAGCCGUUUUGCACACCCUGGUCAGAAUGAAACAUUCCUUGGGAACUCGGGCCGUGAGAAGCAUCCUUCCUGAUCACCUGACUGUAGAAACAUCCUUAUCGCACCCUCCCGGGCAAAGGCCCAACAGCCUGACUGCAGGAACAUCCUUGCCAUAUCCUGCCGGGCAGCAAGCUCUACCGCCCACACCCCUCCUUCCCAGUCCCAUGAUCACCCCAGCCUGUGAGAGGCAGUUGGUGCUGGCAGUAAGCUGGUUUCCUCCUCUGCAGGGUUUUGCUAGUAAUAAA
ensembl:lncRNA novel transcript